rnacentral:rRNA from 1 species
UACGUAGGGGGCGAGCGUUGUCCGGAAUCAUUGGGCGUAAAGCGCAUGUAGGCGGCCCGGUAAGUCCGCUGUGAAAGUCCAGGGCUCAACCCCUGGGAUGCCGGUGGAUACUGUCGGGCUCGAGUCCGGAAGAGGCGAGUGGAAUUCCUGGUGUAGCGGUGAAAUGCGCAGAUAUCAGGAGGAACACCAAUGGCGAAGGCAGCUCGCUGGGACGUGACUGACGCUGAGGAGCGAAAGCGUGGGGAGCAAACAGG